rnacentral:rRNA from 1 species
UACGUAGGGGGCAAGCGUUGUCCGGAAUCAUUGGGCGUAAAGCGCGUGUAGGCGGCUCGGUAAGUCUGCUGUGAAAGUCCAGGGCUCAACCCUGGGAUGCCGGUGGAUACUGUCGAGCUCGAGUCCGGAAGAGGCGAGUGGAAUUCCUGGUGUAGCGGUGAAAUGCGCAGAUAUCAGGAGGAACACCAAUGGCGAAGGCAGCUCGCUGGGACGUGACUGACGCUGAGACGCGAAAGCGUGGGUAGCAAACAGG